rnacentral:lncRNA from 1 species
AUUAAGAGCAUUUGCUACUCUUGUAGAAGACCUGGAUUCAGCUCCCAGCACUCGGAGGCUUACAACUGCUUGUAAGUCUGGCUCUAGGGAACCUGCUGGGUGGAGCUGCAGAGAAGGUUCAGGGAUGCCCAGAUCCCCAGCUACUGAUAUGCCGGGUAGCUCACAUCAUCACUUGGAAUUGCACCACUUUGAACUGGCCAGCUGCUCUUGAGCAAGUGGCAGUUAAAGAACAUGCUGCGGGGCCUGCGAUUUAUGUUAGUGAUGACUUGGUGUCUGGAUUUGAUGCCAGAGACCAGGCAGAAAACACCGCUUUGCAGCUGGAAAAGCUGGAGGUCCAGAAUGCUCCCAGCUGGGGAAGCAGCUACAGUCCGGAGGCUCCCGAGACAAAAGGGUGCACAUGCUUGGUGUGUGCUGGAGAGGAGAACCUGUAUUCAAGCUCAGAGUGGAAAUAGGAUGGAUGGUCACUGGAGAGCAUGGCCAGACAAAGUGAAGUAUUAGGAACGUGACAUCUGGUGAACUGGAACUAUGCAGCCCUUGCUGAUGAUGGCACCAUCCUGGCUCCUCACUCAGGCCCCCAGGCCAUGGCAGUUAGGUCUGCGCAUGGCUUUCCAAUGACAAGAACAAAGCCCCAGCAAUGCUGCAGAAGGCCUCACAGGCAGUGAUCUAUUGGAUGGUGGGGGCAGGUAUGGAGGGUAGACAACACGCACAGACUUCAGUGUGAGACAGGACCUCAGGUUGUGUAAUGUAGUGAUGUACUCUACCAUCUAAACUAAGCCUCUCAAAGGCAGUCUCCAACUCUGUCUCACUGUCCUCUAGUCCUGGCCUUUUAGCUUUUGCUCCUAUUGGCCCCUUGUUAAAAAGGGACAUUUGUAGAAUCCUGUCCUGGAGUCCUUUGUGCUUGAAUUGAAGUCUGCACUCAUGAAACCUUUCUGUUACAGUACUCCCCUCCUUGGCCACUCUAGAGCUUGGGGCUUGUGUCUUCAUUUCCCUGCUUCAUUACAGUAACCUGUCUAGCCCUGGAUUCUAUCUUUUCAUGGAAGUGUGACAGUCCACCCAUUUGUCUGCACAGCUCCUUUUCAGCUGCUUCCACAGUAUCUGCAUUUUGCUGCAAUCUUCCUCUGGCAGCCAUGGGCAGAUCCUUUGGAAUGGUCAGGGCUGGGAUGCUUUCUGAUUUGUCUCUCUCCUGUCCACCUUCCUAGCUGGACACCCCAAUACCCCAGAAUCUGUGCUGAGAGCUGCUAGUUUAAGUGGCCCCUCAUUGCCACCAGUGAUGACUGAAUUCCUUUGACUUGUCUCCCACAUCAUCCCAGGAAUUAAGACAGCUGCUAGCCACUCUGGUAUGCUACCCCCAUCUCAGAAGAGUGUCCCUAGAGAGGUAUUUCAGGAAAGAACUUUAUCUGAUCACUACAGGCAAUGAUCAAAGAGAACUAAUUCCACUGUGUUUGUUACGACAACGUCAGUAAAAUAAGUCAGGGACAGAGUCUCCAGAGGGGCAUAAAGUGUGCAAUAAAGGGUGAUGUAUAAUUAAUGAGCA